rnacentral:rRNA from 1 species
UUGAACGCUGGCGGCAGGCCUAACACAUGCAAGUCGAGCGAGAAAGCACCUCGGUGUGAGUAGAGCGGCGGACGGGUGAGUAACGCGUAGGAAUUUGCCCAGUAGUGGGGGACAACAUGUGGAAACGCAUGCUAAUACCGCAUACGCCCUAGGGGGAAAGCAGGGGAUCUUCGGGACCUUCCGCUAUUAGAUGGUCUUGCGCUGGAUUAGCUAGUUGGUGGGGUAAAGGCCUACCAAGGCGACGAUCCGUAGCUGGUCUGAGAGGAUGAUCAGCCACACUGGGACUGAGACACGGCCCAGACUCCUACGGGAGGCAGCAGUGGGGAAUAUUGGACAAUGGGGGCAACCCUGAUCCAGCCAUGCCGCGUGUGUUAAGAAGGCCUUAGGGUUGUAAAGCACUUUCAGUAGGGAGGAAAAGUUAGUCGUUAAUAACGGCUAACCGUGACGUUACCUACAGAAGAAGCACCGGCAAACUCCGUGCCAGCAGCCGCGGUAAUACGGAGGUCCCAAGCGUUGUUCGGAUUCACUGGGCGUAAAGGGUGCGUAGGCGGUCGGGAAAGUUUGAUGUGAAAGCUCCGGGCUCAACCUGGAAAUUGCAUUGAAAACUAUCCGACUAGAGGAUUGUAAGGGAGACUGGAAUUCUUGGUGUAGCAGUGAAAUGCGUAGAUAUCGAGAGGAACACCAGUGGCGAAGGCGAGUCUCUGGACAAUUCCUGACGCUGAGGCACGAAAGCUAGGGGAGCAAACAGGAUUAGAUACCCUGGUAGUCCUAGCCGUAAACGGUGCACGCUUGCUGUGAGCGGAUUCGACCCCGUCCGUGGCGGAGCUAACGCGUUAAGUGCACCGCCUGGGGAGUACGGCCGCAAGGCUAAAACUCAAAGAAAUUGACGGGGGCCCGCACAAGCGGAGGAGUAUGUGGCUUAAUUCGAUUCAACGCGAAGAACCUUACCUGGGUUUGACAUGUGUCUCUAAGUCUGUGAAAGCAGGCGAGUUUUCGAAGGUGCUGCACAGGUGCUGCAUGGCUGUCGUCAGUUCGUGCCGUGAGGUGUUGGGUUAAGUCCCGCAACGAGCGCAACCCCUAUGUCCUGUUGCCACUUUCCCUAGCGGGAGAAGCACUCUGGACAGACUGCCCCGUCUAAACGGGGAGGAAGGUGGGGAUGACGUCAAGUCAGUAUGGCCCUUACGGCCAGGGCUGCACACGUACUACAAUGCCCAGCACAAAAGGAAGCAAUACCGCAAGGUGGAGCAAAUCCCCAAAACUGGGCCCAGUUCGGAUUGUCGUCUGCAACUCGACGGCAUGAAGCUGGAAUCGCUAGUAAUGGCGCAUCAGCUACGGCGCCGUGAAUACGUUCCCAGGCCUUGUACACACCGCCCGUCAA